AGGAGGCAAGGGGAGAGAGAAGGGGAAGAAAGACAAGGACAAAGCCUGAGAGUUUACAUGUUAUUCUAAUUUCCCCGGAGGUGUUCAAGAAACAUUUAGAUAUAGAGUUGAGAGACAUGGUUUAGUGGGGUUAUUGGUGGUAGGUGGAUGGUUGGACUGGAUGAUCUUGUAGGUCUUUUCCAACCUAGCUAAUUCUAUGAUUCNGGGGGUGGCAUAGGGGCAGGUUGGGGGGCAGCAGGGCGGGGGCUGGGCUGGCUGUGCCAUGGGAGGGGAGGGAGGAGCAGGAGGGAGGUGGAAGGGGGGUCUCUGUCUCAGCAGGGGCAGAAGGGCUGUGCUGGAUGCCCAGGGAAGAUGUGGAGGAAAACGCCGGAUCUCAGAGAAGAGAAGCGGGAGCUGCAGGAGAGGCUCCGUGGGCUGGAGCUCCAGACGCGCUCUGUGCUGCGGCAGAGGCAGGAGACCCUGGGAAAACUGCGGGCAGUGCUGCAGAAGGAGAGGAUGGCGGCACUCUGGCAGCUGCAGGAGAACCUGGAGAAGGAGCACUGUCACCUCAAGGAGCUGGCAGCCCCAGAAGCCCCGAAGGAGCCACUGACUGCAGCGAGAGCCCUGUGGGAGGCAGAGACUUGUGUGUGGGACCCAGCCCAGCCACCCCCUCCUUCCAAACCAGGGUUGAGCCAUGCCACAGGUGCACAGAGAUGGGGCAAGUGCCAGUGCCACCGCUCUGUCUCCUCCCUGUCUCCAAGCACUGUGCCCGGCCUCCAGCAGCCCCACCAUGGGGUCCUGCACCACAUCCUGCGUUGCCUGUGGGAGCUGCAGGUGGAGGACCUCGGUGUGCUGGGAGCAGAGCUGGGCACCACGGCAAGCAUGGAGGAGAAUGCCCAAGGAGAGUUUCUCUGCGUGCGAGGGGGGAAAUGAGAAUUUUGUGCAGUACUGAUUGCUGCAUUUCCUUUCAGGAGGAGAGAGGGAGUGAGAAUGGAAAUCUUUGUCUGCUUUCUUCCCAAUCAAAAUAAAAGCGUUCCUCAUUAUGUUUUUCUGGACUGGGGAGAUUUCUGAAUUUACUUAUGACACGCAGCCCAGUUUAUAAGCUCCCUUUAGGUACUGGAAGGCCACAGUGAGGUCUUCCCAGAGCCUUCUCUUCACCAGGAUACCCUAAAAUGUGGUAUUUCUACUUCACCUCAUGCUCAGAAGCUUUGGGAUGCUGAUGCAACCUUGACAGCACCCCGUGCAAAGCAUGUUCCUAUGGAAGGCAAUGGAAGACCCUUGAAACAGAUGUUGUUUAACAUCCCUAAAACUGGAUGAAAUACCAAGAAGCAAAUAUCUGUGCCAGAAAUUAUGAACUGGGAUAUAGAUAUAAAAAAAAAAAAAAAAAAGAUGAUAUUUUUAUAAAUAGUAUGGGAAGUUCUGCUGGAGCAACACGUAAUUCAUAGAAACAGCCCUCUGGUACAAGUCACUAUUCAAACACUGAUGGAUGAGAGCUGCUCAUCUCCCCAAGGAAAACAAGAAUUUCAGUCUGGGAAAGCAAAGCUACUUGUACUGUGGUAAUGGUGACCGUGAUCAUAUGGCAAGGGUGCCUGGGACUGAGUUGGUAACAGUAAAGGACUGAGGGUGGUUUUGGGAGACUCUUAUAUCAAGAAAACUGGGAAAUGGUUAUCUCCAUACAGUGUAAUUGUACCUAGAAAAUUAAUGAAAUGGAAUAGAGUGUAAUGAAAUGGGACAGAAUGGAAUGGAACAGAAUGGAAGAGAAAGAAAAGAGGAGAGGAGAAUAAGAGGAGAGGAGAAAGAAAAGGUAGGGAGGGGUGGGGAGGGGAGGGAAGGGAAGGGAAAGGAAGGGAGGAGAAGAGAAGAGAAGAGGAGGGGAGGGGAGGGGAGGGGAGGGAAGGGAAGGGAAGGGAAGGGAAGGGAAGGGAAGGGAAGGGAAACGGAAAAGAGGAUGUCAUUAUCCCUUCACAGGCAAUGCAUGGAGUGGUGGGGAGGAUGGUGGAAGAGUGU
rnacentral:lncRNA from 1 species